CACCCCGCGUGGUAAGACUGCUAACCUCUUCUGCCUAUUUAAUCGUUGUUUCGCCUCUGGUCCUUUGUCCAUACAUGGCCCUGUAUGCGGGUAUUCUGUUCAAACUAAGUCUUUUCCUGAACUUGUAAAAAUGAGCCGAUAUCAUCCGUACGGCAGAGGUUCUAGAGAUUCCAACGACCAUGAGCCUCCCUAUCAUCAAGGCCGUGCUUUCGAAAGGCGAUCCGUCCAGACCAAGGACAUGAGUCAUGAGAUGAGGCGCGAGCGCGAAAAACCGUCUAGGACUCUCUUCGUGAGAAACAUUGACUAUCGUAUAAAUCAGGAGGAGAUUGAGAGGAUAUUUGGCAAGUAUGGCCCACUAAGUCGAGUUUUUAAUCUGAUUGAAGCACGGGGGUUGGCGUUCGUUACAUAUUUCGACAUAAGGCAUGCUGACAAGGCAAAAACAAAACUGCAAGGAGUUUCGAUUGGCAACAGAAAUGUGACAAUUCACUACUCGCUUCCAAGAGAUGAGGCAUCCAAUGGCUCUGACAAGGAGGAAAGUAACUACAAUUUAGGGUCGGUAUUUGUGCUGAUCAAGAACGUCAAAGAGGUUAGCAACCAAGAGAUUUAUGAUGUGUUCUCUCAAUGGGGAGAAGUUCGGGAAGUUCGAGAUGGACGUGGUAAAAACUUUGUGACAAAAUUCGUAGACUAUUGGGAUACGAGACAUGCACAGAAUGCCAUUGCGCAUGCUGAUGGUAGCGCUUUGUUUGGAGGACUAGUAGAAGCUAGAUACGCCAAUCUGACAAAAGGUGGAAGAGAAUCGCACGUAGAGCAUGUCGAAAAUGACAUGAACUAUUCACGUUCGCCCGCUUACGAUCCAGAGUCUCUCUAUGGUAAACAAAAAAACAUGUAUCUCCCGCCGCCAAUUCCGAGGUAUCAGGGUAAUAAUGUUCCUUCUAUCCCUACUGCAUCAAUAUAUAAUUACCCUGGAGCGGCCCCACCUUAUCAAAAUUCCUAUCGAUUAGAUCAGGGAUACUCUAAGCCACCUUAUCCUGCUGUUCCAUCAAAAUAUCCGUCGUAUAAUGCAUCUGUGGUAGCGCCAGUCUCGAAUCUGAACACGACUUACUCACCAACUGCGCAGCCCGUUCCCGGUGGAGGGGAGCAUUCUCAAAUUCUCAACCAGUUAUCGCGGUACAAUUCUCUGGUGCAAACUAAUUCACAGCCUAGUGCCACCCCUGUCACUCAGCAUUUGGCUAGUCUCCUUACACAGCCAAGUGCAGCCCGCCCAUCGCCACAGCCGCAGCCCCCUUCUACUUCAUCUCAAACCUCUUUUUCACCUCAGCUUCUUGCGCAGCUGCAUGCACAGCUCCAGACACUCGCUCAAAAUGGAAGCCUGGCAUCCACCGGGUCAAACUCUUAUAAUCCACCUGCCGACAACUAUGUACCCUCGUCUCCUAGUUAUGUGCCCUCAUCUCCCAGUUAUGCGCCUACGUCUCCGAGAUAUGUGCCUUCACCUCCGAGAUAUGCUCCAUACGAUGCUCUUUGAUCGUGGCCCUUUUUUGUAUGUAAACUACACACAUAGCGUCCAGCUGAAAAUGCUAGCCAGGCAUCAUUUUUACAUAUUGAGGAGUUAGAGCAAACUAAUAAGAUGUUUUCAAGAACCAGACCUAGAAGUUGGAGAACUGGAGUGUAUUGACCGCUGUAUACUCAAAUUUCUCGAAGUUCAGAGCUUGAUUGGAGCUCGAAUGAAUGCUACAAGCACGAUACUAGAAGCUCAGAUGGCUGAAGCAUCAAAAUCUCAAUAGCGAUAUUUCUCUUUCACUUUGAAUCUCUAUCUGAACCUUGUGAGUUAAUCGCAGUUAUCUUUUCCAGUUUCUUAUCCAUCUUUUGUUAUCCGGAGACAGUAAAUUUUGUAUAGAGACGAGACAGUCGACAUCUAUUAUAUAUAUAUU